rnacentral:rRNA from 1 species
GUACACGCUGUGACUAGCAUAUCAAUAAGCGGAGGAAAAGAAACUAACAAGGAUUCCCUAGUAACGGCGAGUGAAGCGGGAAGAGCUCAAAUUUGAAAUCUUGAAAGGUCACCUUUCACGAAUUGUAGUUUAAAGAAGUGUUUUCUGUUACGAUCGUAAUAUAAGUUCUUUGGAAUAGGACAUCACAGAGGGUGAGAAUCCCGUCUAUGAUUGCGAUUUGUAGCUUUGUGAUACACUUUCAAAGAGUCGGGUUGUUUGGGAAUGCAGCCCAAAACGGGAGGUAAAUUUCUUCUAAGGCUAAAUAUUGGCGAGAGACCGAUAGCGAACAAGUACCGUGAGGGAAAGAUGAAAAGAACUUUGAAAAGAGAGUUAAACAGUACGUGAAAUUGUCAAAAGGGAAGCGUUUGACACCAGUGUUGUUUUUCUGAAAAUCAAUUAAAGAACUGUUUAUGCUAAGCUGUUUAGACUUUAUCAGCUAAUCUGUUUAGUUUUGAGCUUUUCUUUAAUGCACUUUUCAGUUAACAAGUCAACAUCAAUUUCUUUUGCCGUAAAAAAGCUUGAGGAAGGUGGCUUGAGAUUCGUCUUAAGUGUUUAUAGCCUCUUGCCUAUGCAGUCGGAGAGAUUGAGGUCUGCAGCGUAGAUCCUUCGGGGCUAGAUACAUUUGUGCUAAGUUAUAACAUUUUAUAGACAACUUGUUGACUAUAAUUAGUCUUGUAGCUUACUCGCUUAUGUUAUUUUACCUACGCUUAGGAUGUUGACGCAUGAGAUAUACGC